rnacentral:rRNA from 1 species
UACGUAGGGUGCGAGCGUUUGUCCGGAAUUACUGGGCGUAAAGAGCUCGUAGGUGGUUUGCCGCGUUGUCCGUGAAAACUCACAACUCAAUUGUGGGCGUGCGGGCGAUACGGGCAGACUGGAGUACUGCAGGGGGAGACUGGAAUUCCAGGUGUAGCGGUGAAAUGCGUAGAUAUCUGGAGGAACACCGGUGGCGAAGGCGGCAUCCUGGACCGGGCAGUUGACGCUGAGCGCGAAAGCCAGGGGAGCAAAGCGGGG